GCCGGCGUGGCGGAACUGGCAGACGCGCGCGACUCAAAAUCGCGUUCCUUCGGGAGUGUGGGUUCGAUCCCCUCCGCCGGCA
rnacentral:tRNA from 1 species